UGAACAUCACGGGGACAGAUUAUAUUCUCACUAUGUAAAGAAGUUACACAACUCAAUGGCAAAAUAAUCUGCUGAAACAACAGGCAGGUACUUGAACAGACAUUUCUCCAGGGAGGAUUUUCAGAUGAUUAACAGACAGGACACUUUCUACAGUACCUUGAUUGGAGGGAGUGCUGUAAGGCUGAGGAUAUGGCAGAAUCUCCUGGUGAUCUGCAGGAUGUGGGAACUAUAGUCUCUGAAAGGACAAAGACAGGGUAUCUCAUUGAACCUACAGCUCCAUGGAUAUCUGGCCAGUGAGUUUCAGAAAUCUGACUAUAUCCUCCCACCAUAGGAUGGAGAUCCAGGUUUCAAAACAAUGUGUCAACAUAAAAAGAAAUGCAGCAUCAAACUGUGUUGGAAUGAAUUCUGUCCAUAUUUCUUCUUACUGAAGUACAAAAUACUGAUGCUAAAGCGGGCAGACGAUGCUUUUGGAUGUGAGCCCUCUUCUUCUACUUUAUGUGUAAUGUUUUUGCAC